CAAAACUCGGGGACACGCACAGAGCACAGAGGGAAGACAGAGCUGACGAAGCCUUUAAACAUGGAUAUGGUAUAAUAAGGAAAAGCAGCCUCUCCAGGACUCACCUGGAGGACGGGGCAGUGGUCGAAGUUGUAGGCGCUGGGUCGUCCCUCCAGCGUGGAGAAGGCCACGUUUCCUCCGGUGAGCGGCGAGAUGUUGCUGAACUCGUCGGUGCAGAGCGCCUGCUGCUCGUCCUGGCCGGUCCGGAUGAAGCUGCGGUUCGCUUUCUGGUAGGUCUUCUCGCAGGAGCUGCUGUAGUACUGGUACGGCACCCAGGGGCUGCCCUCGCUGGUCCGCUUGUAGAUGGCGAAGCUCUCCGGCCGGCUGGUGUGGAACUUGAGGCGGACGUAGGUGAUGUCGAA